rnacentral:rRNA from 1 species
UACCAGCACCCCGAGUGGUCGGGACGUUUAUUGGGCCUAAAGCAUCCGUAGCCGGUUCUACAAGUCUUCCGUUAAAUCCACCUGCUUAACAGAUGGGCUGCGGAAGAUACUAUGGAGCUAGGAGGCGGGAGAGGCAAGCGGUACUCGAUGGGUAGGGGUUAAAUCCGUUGAUCCAUUGAAGACCACCAGUGGCGAAGGCGGCUUGCCAGAACGCGCUCGACGGUGAGGGAUGAAAGCUGGGGGAGCAAACCGG